rnacentral:lncRNA from 1 species
CGAACUUUCGGUAUAUAAGUCCGACGAAAGACAACCCGCUUCUCGAAGGCGAGGAAGAACCGACUUCAAGCAAGCGGUGCACUUUUUUCUAAAUAGGGUGGUAUGGGUGGGGAAGGAAGGAAAGAAGGGCAAGUCAGCUAGAAAUUGCGUAUAGUAAGAUGGGGGGGCAGUAUGGAAAGCAAAAAUGUGGAACCUAAUAGAAAUUACUACUAGUUGGACCAAAAAAAAGAUUUUUUCAAGCGAUUGUGUGAUAACUUU